GUGCGUUACUAUACAUUGCACUCUCAGCAGAAAAUAACAGGGAGGAAUUGAUCUGUUCGUGUAUAACUGUAACAGUAGCCUAUGAGAUAUAUUAGUGAGUUACAGCCAUGUAUAUCAGGAAUAGGAGCGACAUGACACUUACAUACGAACAGAAAAGUGUGCAGACCCAAAGCGCAUCCAUGUCACAGUUCUUCGCCGAUGGAAAAUCCCGUACAAUGAGUUGGCUAUACCCCUUCAAAAGUCUUUGGGACCAAAGAAGGCUUCAAUAGCCUACCCGUGAGACGUAACCCAGGAAAUGCCAAAAAAAGCGCACCUAGGUUCCUAAAAACCUCACAGCUGUCAAGAAACCACUUUGAAAGUAACAAGAACACGACCAAAUGAGAGCAUUUUUAAAAACUGCAUCAAAGUAUCUACACAUACGGGGAAGAAAAAUUGCCCCAAAACUCCGAGUGCCGCUUCUCUUCACUCCGAGUGCCGCUUCUCUUCAGUCCGAGUGCCGCUUCUCUUCAGUCCGAGUGCCGCUUCUCUUCAGUCCGAGUGCCGCUUCUCUUCAGUCCGAGUGCCCGCUUCUCUUCAGUCCGAGUGCCGCUUCUCUUCAGUUCCGAGUGCCGCUUCUCUUCAGUCGAUGUCGCUUCUCUUCAGUCCGAGUGCGCUUCUCUUCAGUGAAAUCAACUGCCAUGAAAGAAAACAGUAAAAAAAAUCCUCUUCUUUAGGCUACACACCAUCUACUUUUACUGUAGACCGUUUCUUUGUUACUUCCCUACAGUUGAGUCACACUUCAAUCUUUGUUGGCAUGUUCCUCUUGCAGUGAGAGAGUCUGAAGCGCAGCGUUUUGGCCUCUCGAUCUUCAAGCGCUUGGUUCACUUUCAACGCCUUCAGCUCUCUACGGCUGGAGCCCGGGUCCUCGCUUUGUGAUUGGCUGAUACGCGACGGCAAUAAACACAUUGAAGUGAUAUUCAAAUGGAGAUGAAACUUGAUACACUGUAAUAAAUAAAGGGGAUACAUUCCGGAAGAUGCCUUUAGGGAUCUGUUUAAAUAAUGGAAGUUGGGACUUUGUGUAGCCCGGGCUGUAUUUUGCGGUCUUAAUUUUAAACCCCCGGUUAUUUCUCUAGGGGGGUUACAGAAAUUACUAUUUUGUGGCUAAUAUUCUCCGUACACUCUUUUUUUUUAUGUAUAUAUGUAAAUAAGCCAUGCUUAUAAAAUGAUAUGUUUGUAUAUAAAUUAUAUAGGAUAAUUAAGAUAUCAAUGUAGAAUAUUGUACCUAGCAGUUGUAAUACUGGUAAGUAGGUUAAACUUACUGUAAUAGACUAUUGAAGCACAAACACAGAUAUUUAGCUUAGUCCUAAAUAAUGUCAGGGCUAUUUAAUGAAUGUACUAUUUGCAAGUCGCUUUGGAUAACAGAUUCUGCUAAUGACUAAAAUAUACAUGUAAUAGCCCAGACAUUAUUUAAACAGUUUUCAAAUAUUCAGGGAAGGCAUAUGGUAUGGCCUCUAUAUUUUAGAUUUUUGGACCAGCUGCCUCUAUACAUAACUAAUUUCAGGUACUUCUUAAUUUUAGUAGCCUAGAAAGUAGUCUCACACAGUAGCCUAUUGUUACGUCCCAAAUGGCACCUAUUCCCUAUAUAGUGCCCUGCUAAAUGUAGUGCACUAGAUAGCGAAUAAGGUGCCAUUGGGACAUUCCG
rnacentral:lncRNA from 1 species